CCUACGGGUGGCUGCAGUGGGGAAUAUUGGACAAUGGGGGGAACCCUGAUCCAGCCAUGCCGCGUGUGUGAAGAAGGCCCUCGGGUUGUAAAGCACUUUCAGUGAGGAAGAACGCCUGGUGGUUAAUACCCAUCAGGAAAGACAUCACUCACAGAAGAAGCACCGGCUAACUCCGUGCCAGCAGCCGCGGUAAUACGGAGGGUGCGAGCGUUAAUCGGAAUUACUGGGCGUAAAGCGCGCGUAGGUGGCUUGAUAAGCCGGUUGUGAAAGCCCCGGGCUCAACCUGGGAACGGCAUCCGGAACUGUCAAGCUAGAGUGCAGGAGAGGAAGGUAGAAUUCCCGGUGUAGCGGUGAAAUGCGUAGAGAUCGGGAGGAAUACCAGUGGCGAAGGCGGCCUUCUGGACUGACACUGACACUGAGGUGCGAAAGCGUGGGUAGCAAACAGGAUUAGAUACCCCAGAAGUC
rnacentral:rRNA from 1 species